rnacentral:rRNA from 1 species
UACGGAGGGCGCAAGCGUUGUCCGGAAUUAUUGGGCGUAAAGAGCUCGUAGGCGGCCAGUUGCGUCUGCUGUGAAAUCCCGGGGCUCAACCCCGGGCGUGCAGUGGAUACGGGCUGGCCAGAGGCAGGCAGGGGAGAACGGAAUUCCCGGUGUAGCGGUGAAAUGCGCAGAUAUCAGGAGGAACACCGGUGGCGAAGGCGGGUCUCUGGGCCGAUACUGACACUGAGGAGCGAAAGCGUGGGGAGCGAACAGG